GUAAGGUUACGCAAACAAAAGCGAAUUCACUGCCUAGGAUUCGGCAACCAGCUAGAAUUGCUGCAGAUCGACCAAGAAAUUGUACCUUGUUGGAAACACGAUCUGCAAAGGAACACAUUAAGAUCAGGUGGACCAAAGCAAACAACAAAAAGGAGAGAUUCGUUGCCGUUUUGAGUUCCAUGCCAAACAGGUAAAAGCUCGAAUUGAUAAUGGCAACAAAAUAAAAGGCCAGGAAAUAUCUUUGCUUUACUGCAAAAACGAAAUGUCUGACGUCUUCGUGCUGGCUGUUUAAUAACUGAACUUCACGUCGCUCGAUUUCCAUCUGGAUCAGCUCGAAUGCAAGAGACGAAGCAUAGCAGUGAACGACAAACAGUAGCAAGGCAGUCAUUGGAUAGAUGGCUGAUAAUGUCGAAAUAGAAGUGAUGAAGAUUGUUAAAAGAAGUUCUCCUGCGCAGAUGAUAAUCCGUGACCAACAAAAGAAUCCCAGACACCUUUAAUCAUUCAGGUUCUUACCACCAAGAUGAUGUAAACGAUUCCCAACGAAGAUAUUCUGCGAAUUCGAUUGUAAUUGUCUGCAGCUACAACGAGUUUCAUUCGAUUGAAACUUUCCAGCAGAUCGAGUGGUCGCAUGGCAGUCAGCAAGAUAACGUGAGUUCUAAUUGCAUGAAUACCAUAAUUAAUGAAAUCGAUUAUUCAGUUCCACGUAGCCGUUUCUGUGCUGAAAACCAUUAGCCCUUGGGGCGGAUCAAGCGAGGCCUGCAUUCGUAUGGUGUGCAAAAAAUAGAAAAUGUCCGCAAGACAAGUGACGUGCAACAACAAACAGAAAACUCUGUAUGCAAAUGUAAGCCACCGAAAGGUCUUUCCGGCUAAAGGUGAAAUCUCUGCCAGUUCAACGCCAAGAAUCCGGUUCCAGAUUAACAACGGACGAAUGGCCCAUGCCCAGCAUUUAGUUGGAGAUGGAUUGUCGUCUCAGUGGAAUUUCGAUUCGGCAAUGAUGUCUUUAAGGAGCUGAAUGUUUAAAACCCUUAACAGCACGCAAGGAGGGGCAGCAUCUGACAACAGAUGAGCCAGCAGCAGCCGUGUGUAAAAAAAACGAAGAAUUUAUCUGGCAACGAAGAAUUUAUCGGGCAACGUUACUUUGCUUGCACAAAAGUGGAAGCAUCUGUUAGUGACGACAAGUGUUAGUCUUCACUUGCGUCAUGAACUACGUCGUAACAGAAAUAUUUUCAUUGCUGCACACCACACCGAAUCAAUCCAUCACAGAAGGAAAGUGAUAGUUUUGCUGUAGUUGGAAGUACCUUCAGCAACAUACUCUUGUCUCAUUUCCACAUUCCUUGAAGAUGGCAUCCGCAUGUACUUCCAAUAGAAUGAGCAGAGAGAAUACAUGGACAUCUCUUGGGGAUGUGGUAAGUUCUUGGCCGUCAUCAUCAACCUGUUUGGACAACUUGAUGGUAGUUUCAUGCUACUCCUUCGUUGGAAGUUGAUAUCGCCAGUGCCCAAAGUUUGGCAUUGUGUGCAUGCAGCCAAAGAUUAGAAUGGCAUCAUUUGAGAAGCAAACUAACAACUCAGCUAGCCAGUAAUGCCCUUGGAGAUCAUACUGUAAAGCAACUAUCCAUCAUAUCAGAGAAACGGAUAGAGAAAAUUCGUGAAGAACGAAAUGCAGAAAAUCUUAUUGAGGGAUUCGAAAGAUAUGUCUACAGCUUUGGUGCAGAAGUCAUUUUUGCCAUUAUUGUGGACCGACGUCUGGAAGCCUUAAGUAAGAGUUGCUUCCCGCCUAUUGCUGAGCGUUUAAUGUUUGCAACGAAAAAUCUGUUUGAAGUGUCUCAUGAAAGUACGCAUGAACUUCCAUGGUGGAAAUAUUUUCCUACAAAAUCUUAUAGAAAACUAGCAAAAUGUGAGGACAUCAUGUACGACGUAUUUUCAGAUUUGAUUAAUAAAGACCUUAUCAGUGGAGAGGCUACUGAGACGCAAUCGUUGGUUUUAAAUCAAAUUUUGACUGCUGAAGGUGUUGACACCCGUGAUAAUCGUCUCGCUUAUCGAUCUUGUUGCAGCUGGUAUUGAAACGACGGGAAAUGCCACCAUGUUCCUUUUACACGAUAUCUUGAACAAUCCAGAGGUAAAGGUUCACGUUUACGAAGAGCUGGACCAAGUUCUUCUUUCUCCGGAAGACGCAAAAACUCCUCCGAUUCUUUUGAAGUUAAAAUGCCUUAUAGCGUGCAUCACUGAAAGUCUUAGGAUGACACCUGUGGCUCCUAAUGUGGCGCGCAUAUUAGAAAACCGUUUAUCUUUCGAUGUUAUUACGUUGCUGUUGGAGUCAGCUUUUAACUUACUUUAAAUUCUUCCUACCUCUCAUUUCGCAAUUGGACUUCUCUUCCUCUGCGUUUCAGUCAAUUUUCCUACUUUUAAUUUAGCACUUUUUUCGCGGGUUGCAAAGAAAGAGAAAUAGGAAUAGCAGAGUAAUAGAAUACUGGUGAAGCCACGCUUAUGGCGGGCC